rnacentral:rRNA from 1 species
AUUGAACGCUGGCGGCAGGCCUAACACAUGCAAGUCGAGCGAGCGGCGGACGGGUGAGUAAUGUAUGGGGAUCUGCCCGAUGGAGGGGGAUAACUACUGGAAACUGUAGCUAAUACCGCAUACAAUCGGAUGAACCCAGGUGGGAUUAAGUAGUGGGGGGGGGAACGGCUCACCAAGCCGACGAUCCCUAGCUGGUUUGAGAGGAUGACCCGCCACAAUGGGACGGGGAAACGGCCCAGACCCCUACGGGAGGCAACAGUGGGGAAUUUUGGACAAUGGGGGGAAGUCUGAUCCAGCCAUGCCGCGUGUAAGAAGAAGGCCUUCGGGGUGUAAAGUACUUUUAGUGGGUAAGCGUUACCUGCAGAAGAAGCACCGGCUAACUCCGUGCCAGCAGCCGCGGUAAUUC